AAAAGGACGGGUCCUGGACCCCUUCAUCCCUCAAACCCGUGGAAGUGAGACGUGCUUCGGCGCCUCUGGGCGUCGAAUCCAUGCCGUUUAGCUUGUCUGAAGAAAAACAAACAUUUA
rnacentral:misc_RNA from 1 species